rnacentral:pre_miRNA from 1 species
GUCAGGAAGAGGAAGAAAACGAGCAUCUAGGAGUAUUGGGCAUGGGAACAUGGAGGAAGACCGACACUAGUGUGUCCCACUACAACUAGGGUCCAACAUUUGUUUCGAAAUUUUCCCAAUGCCUCCCAUGCCUGUUGUUCUUAGGUUCUCCUCCCUCUCCCUCAUGGUC